AAAAGGGCUGCUGAGGUGCUCUUUGAUAGUUUUGCCUCUGGGGGAAGAGUCAACUGCAAUCAGUUUUUUGAGAGAAUCCAAGCAAGUGAUGCAAUGCUAAAUUUCUCCAAAUCUGUUCCAAAUCUGCUCCACAUUUCUCCAAAUCUGAAGAAACAUAACCAUUAACAUCUUGGAUGGCCUACUGGUCCUGUGGAGCUCAGGAAUCAUCCGAACAGACCCACGGAUUAAAGACUGCUACGGCCUGAUGCAUAAAUUACAGGAAGCAGAUGGAACUGUUGACAGGAGCACUUUUCACAGCCCAGACUGAAUCUUGACACCAGUGGUCAAAUUUAAAGCAUCUUAAAUAUAAAUACUGAACACCCCUAAUCUUUAAUGCUGCUAAUAUGCUUCAUUUGUGAACAUCUUGCAGGUGCGUGACUGGCUUUGUGUCUUUCAUCCUGAAGGCAUUGCAGGGAAGAUUUGUCAUUCCAGAUUUCUCUACUUUCAUAGAGGAAACACAAAAGCUGUUUAUUAAAUGCAAACAACUCUCCUCUGUGAAGGAGAAAGAAGACGUAAGAGAGGGUGGCACGAAAUGGGGAAUUUCAGUUUGUACCGUGGAUGGAGGUGCCACACAACAGUCCAAUUCAAUUGAUUUGAUCUUCAGCAGGGGGUCUCUUCAUCCCUUAGGGGGUCCACAGUGGCACUAUGGGGCGUCUGCCAAUUAUUGUUUAAUCUCAAAAAAAUUUUUGUGAAAACAAGAC